GAAGAGUUUGAUCAUGGCUCAGAUUGAACGCUGGCGGCAGGCCUAACACAUGCAAGUCGAACGGUAACAGGAAGCAGCUUGCUGCUUUGCUGACGAGUGGCGGACGGGUGAGUAAUGUCUGGGAAACUGCCUGAUGGAGGGGGAUAACUACUGGAAACGGUGGCUAAUACCGCAUAACGUCGCAAGACCAAAGAGGGGGACCUUCGGGCCUCUUGCCAUCAGAUGUGCCCAGAUGGGAUUAGCUUGUUGGUGAGGUAACGGCUCACCAAGGCGACGAUCCCUAGCUGGUCUGAGAGGAUGACCAGCCACACUGGAACUGAGACACGGUCCAGACUCCUACGGGAGGCAGCAGUGGGGAAUAUUGCACAAUGGGCGCAAGCCUGAUGCAGCCAUGCCGCGUGUAUGAAGAAGGCCUUCGGGUUGUAAAGUACUUUCAGCGGGGAGGAAGGUGUUGUGGUUAAUAACCGCAGCAAUUGACGUUACCCGCAGAAGAAGCACCGGCUAACUCCGUGCCAGCAGCCGCGGUAAUACGGAGGGUGCAAGCGUUAAUCGGAAUUACUGGGCGUAAAGCGCACGCAGGCGGUCUGUCAAGUCGGAUGUGAAAUCCCCGGGCUCAACCUGGGAACUGCAUUCGAAACUGGCAGGCUUGAGUCUUGUAGAGGGGGGUAGAAUUCCAGGUGUAGCGGUGAAAUGCGUAGAGAUCUGGAGGAAUACCGGUGGCGAAGGCGGCCCCCUGGACAAAGACUGACGCUCAGGUGCGAAAGCGUGGGGAGCAAACAGGAUUAGAUACCCUGGUAGUCCACGCCGUAAACGAUGUCUACUUGGAGGUUGUGCCCUUGAGGCGUGGCUUCCGGAGCUAACGCGUUAAGUAGACCGCCUGGGGAGUACGGCCGCAAGGUUAAAACUCAAAUGAAUUGACGGGGGCCCGCACAAGCGGUGGAGCAUGUGGUUUAAUUCGAUGCAACGCGAAGAACCUUACCUGGUCUUGACAUCCACAGAAGAAUCCAGAGAUGGAUUUGUGCCUUCGGGAACUGUGAGACAGGUGCUGCAUGGCUGUCGUCAGCUCGUGUUGUGAAAUGUUGGGUUAAGUCCCGCAACGAGCGCAACCCUUAUCCUUUGUUGCCAGCGGUCCGGCCGGGAACUCAAAGGAGACUGCCAGUGAUAAACUGGAGGAAGGUGGGGAUGACGUCAAGUCAUCAUGGCCCUUACGACCAGGGCUACACACGUGCUACAAUGGCGCAUACAAAGAGAAGCGACCUCGCGAGAGCAAGCGGACCUCAUAAAGUGCGUCGUAGUCCGGAUUGGAGUCUGCAACUCGACUCCAUGAAGUCGGAAUCGCUAGUAAUCGUGGAUCAGAAUGCCACGGUGAAUACGUUCCCGGGCCUUGUACACACCGCCCGUCACACCAUGGGAGUGGGUUGCAAAAGAAGUAGGUAGCUUAACCUUCGGGAGGGCGCUUACCACUUUGUGAUUCAUGACUGGGGUGAAGUCGUAACAAGGUAACCGUAGGGGAACCUGCGGUUGGAUCACCUCCUUACCU
rnacentral:rRNA from 1 species